GCAAAAAUGAUGAACAGACAACAGUCAGAAGAUUGGAGUCACAAGAAACGUAGCAAGUCGACGCAGUGGAUGUUUCUCCAAACUCAAACACGACCGCUCCGCCAGCUCCAACCACAGCCUCCAGGGCCACGGGGCUCCUCUAACCACAGCCACGGCUCCGAGACACGCCGCUGUUAUCAAAGAAACAGCCCAACACUUUCAGCUGCUGAACAGAGAGGUGAAUAAACAAAAGGGGCUGGUGCUGGAGGAGCGAUGGGAGAAUUCAAAUGAACAUUGCACAGACAGAGGAUGAAAUGGAGAGGUUACAGGAGAGAGACAGACAAAAAAGAGGAGAGAAACUGAGUGAAUUCAAGCAUGGCAUCUAAUUCUGCAACUGCAGUAGGCCGGGGAAUGCCAGCUGACGAGGUGGUCUUUAAUGCAUCGUGAGGGCAGGUUGUGUUUAUGCAGGCCAGGAACCUGGUCACAUGUGUCCUCAAACCACAUCCGAAUGUGGUUUUAUUGAUGAGAUCUAAAAACGGAUUGGGUGUGUUCCAACCUGAAGUUAGAUCUACAUGUGAUGGGAUCUAAAACCAUGUUUGGACAGGGUCAUCAUCAGGUUUAGCUCAGGCUAAUGGCCCUUUUCCACUAUGAUCCCGCUUCGCCUCACCUCGGCACGGCACGACAUGGCACGGUUUAGAUUGCAUCUCCACUACAAAAAAGGUAUCUACUCAACGUGAGUGGAUUCAUCACUGCACGGCUGUGUGAAACUGCGGUGACUUUGUUACACAAACAAGUUCUUGUAAAGCAGUUGUUUUCAGUUAAUUAAAGAUGUUUGUUCAGGACUUCCUCCAUGGCCGGAGCACAGACUCCGUCUGACAGUCGCUGGACUGAAAUACAGCGGCAGGGUUCAUGAUGCCGGUCGCGAUCAGCUGUGCUGUCACUAAAUACACCAGACUCCUCUGUUAAAUAUGGAGAUUUUAGACAUUUCCCUGGUAAUUGUUGGAGAUUAACCCACAUUUUUAGGAUUGUUAAGUCUUUUUAACUGAUCUUUAGUUCGGCAUUGUUCGGCGAUUUCUGUGUCGGACGUCUCUUCCUGUGACUGCACUCUGUAUGAGUUGAAACAUAUUCACAUUUGCGAGGUAUAAAUCAGUGCUUUCAUAUCAUAUAGUAGUAGUUUACGAGGAGUUGUGUGAUGUCAUUGUUACGACUAGAGCAUGAUGAUUCUACUGAUGAUUCUAAAAGUAACAGAAAAGCAUGUGGAUGCAUGACAUAAUGUAAAUCAGCCAGGUCAGCCUCACAAACCACCUUUGCUUCAAGAAAGGCCCUGGACUGUUUAAAACAUUUAAAAGCAGAUAUAGUGCACAUGCAGUAUUUAGGUUUAAUGCAGGGAAUUUAAAACUUUUUUUGAGAAACAGAGACUAGAAAGAUAAAAGAAGGAAUUCAGCAGUAGCCAAAGACCAUUUUGUAAAUGCCUUUCCUGACUCCAUGUCUCACAUGCUCAUUGUUGCUAAACCUCCUGGAGCUUUAAAAAAGGGAGGAGGUGGGAGAGUGAGUGAGUGAGAGAGAGGCCCUCUGGAGAAGCCUAAUGAUCUACAGUAUGAUCACUUCAACAAACACAGGAGCCAUUGGUGCUUCAUCAAGAUUCUAAUGUUUUAUGGAAUUUCUUUCAUUCACUUAGACGACAUUUAUUUUCAAAAUGGCACAUUCUGCGUCAUUUGUGCUUUUUAUCAUUAGUACUAUCAUUAUUAUUGAGAGAUCUUUCAAGUGCAAUAUUAGAGAAUUGAAUCCCUUACUGUGUGUCAGAGCAUGCUUGCAGCGUGAUUUGAUUAUAUUAAUUCAACAAA